rnacentral:rRNA from 1 species
UACAGAGGUGGCAAGCGUUGUUCGGAAAUACUGGGCGUAAAGGGCGCGUAGGCGGCCUACUAAGUCAGACGUGAAAUCCCCCGGCUUAACCUGGGAACUGCGUCUGAUACUGGAAGGCUUGAGGAUGGGAGAGGGAUGUAGAAUUCCAGGUGUAGCGGUGAAAUGCGUAGAUAUCUGGAGGAAUACCGGUGGCGAAGGCGGCAUCCUGGACCAUUACUGACGCUGAGGCGCGAAAGCUAGGGGAGCAAAUGGG